CUUAAAGGAAUUGACGGGGAGCACCACAACGGUGGAGCUUGCGGUUUAAUUGGAUUCAACGCCGGAAAUCUUACCGGGACCGACAGCAAUAUGAAGGCCAGGCUGAAGACUUUGCCGGAUUAGCUGAGAGGUGGUGCAUGGCCGUCGUCAGUUCGUACUGUGAAGCAUCCUGUUAAGUCAGGCAACGAGCGAGACCCACGCCCACAGUUGCCAGCGUACUCUCUGGAGUGACGGGUACACUGUGGGACCGCCGCUGCUAAAGCGGAGGAAGGAAUGGGCAACGGUAGGUCAGUAUGCCCCGAAUAUCCCGGGCUACACGCGAGCUACAAUGGUUGGUACAAUGGGUAUCUACCCCGAAAGGGGACGGGAAUCUCCUAAAACCAAUCUUAGUUCGGAUUGAGGGCUGCAACUCGCCCUCAUGAAGCUGGAAUCCGUAGUAAUCGCGUUUCAACAGAACGCGGUGAAUACGUCCCUGCUCCUU
rnacentral:rRNA from 1 species